rnacentral:ncRNA from 1 species
UACCUGGUUGAUCCUGCCAGUAGUCAUAUGCUUGUCUCAAAGAUUAAGCCAUGCAAGUCUAAGUACGAGCUCUCGUACAGUGAAACUGCGAAUGGCUCAUUAAAUCAGUUAUGGUUCAUUUGAUCGUACAGUUUACUUGGAUAACUGUGGUAAUUCUAGAGCUAAUACAUGCGAGAAGCGCCGACCUCGCGGGAGGCGUGCAUUUAUCAGACCAAAAACCGGCCGCGUCUUCGGGCGCGUUCGCCUUGGUGACUCUGGAUAACUUUGCGGAUCGCACGGUCUAGCACCGGCGACGGAUCAUUCAAGUGUCUGCCCUAUCAACUUUCGUCGGUACGGUAUUUGCCUACCGAGGUUCUUACGGGUGACGGGGAAUCAGGGUUCGAUUCCGGAGAGGGAGCCUGAGAAACGGCUACCACAUCCAAGGAAGGCAGCAGGCGCGCAAAUUACCCAUUCCCGACGCGGGGAGGUAGUGACGAAAAAUAACAAUGCAGGACUCGUUCGAGGCCCUGUAAUUAGAAUGAGUACACUUUAAAAGCUUUAACGAGUAUCCA